rnacentral:rRNA from 1 species
UGCCAGCCGCCGCGGUAAUACGGAAGGUGCGAGCGUUAAUCGGAAUUACUGGGCGUAAAGCGCACGUAGGUGGCUUGGUAAGUCGGAUGUGAAAGCCCUGGGCUCAACCUGGGAAUUGCAUUCGAUACUGCUUAGCUAGAGUAUGAGAGAGGGUAGUGGAAUUCCAGGUGUAGCGGUGAAAUGCGUAGAUAUCUGGAGGAACACCGGUGGCGAAGGCGGCGUUCUGGACUGCUACUGACGCUGAGACUCGAAAGCGUGGGGAGCAAACAGGAUUAGAUA